CUACUGUAUAACUGUAAAUAUUAAAUUAAUUAUUAAAUUAUAUUUACUAUUCAAGGUGGUGAAUCCAGCUUUUUUGGUGAAUAAUUAUGUUGAAUAAUUUUGUAUGGUGCCCCAACCUCAGCGCAUUUUUAAACUCCCACCUCUCCUCUUUACGAACGGUGAUGAUUGGAGGGUUUCCUUCAGCACCUGAUGCUGCUGCAUCUAUUGCAAUAUCAACACUUACCUAGGACUGAUUCUACAUAAGGUCAAGAAACUCAACAAUCAUGAUGGUUCUCAUUCUAUUCUGUAUAACUAUUAAAGUGAUACAGGUCACAGGUUCUUCUCUCAGUGACAAAGUUCACCAGACUCCAGCUGCUGUGCACCACAAACCAGGAGAAGCCGCUGAAAUUAACUGUUCCCACAGUAUUGACAGCUACGACAGAAUCUACUGGUACAGGCGGUUCAACGACAGGCAGCUGCACUUCUUGGGAUACUUGAACAUUAUCUAUGGUUACCCCGAACCUGGACUCAACGUAAAAAUGACAGGGGAUGCAAAUAAAAACAAAACCGCCACGUUGAGCGUGUUAGACCUGACCCCCAACAUCAGUGCCGUGUAUUUUUGUGCUGCUAGUUUACACACUGCUACAGAUCACACCACCACAGAACCAAAACCUCACCAUCACAUUAUGGUUUUCUUUCACAAGGUGGCGCAUGACUUUAAAUCCGACCUUUAUGCAAAGAGGGAAAAAGGACCGAUGACAAAUGUUGUGACAACCCCCACACAGCUCAGCUUCAAUGAGCUCAGAGUCUUUUGCCAAAAGAGAGGAAGAAACUAUGAACUCUAACAGUUCCACUGUCUUCUACACUCAUUAACAAAGAAAAGGACAACAGGCAACAUGAACAUUGCUUUCUUAAUCAUAGCAUUCAACACUGUGCUGAAUCCAGGUAACUGAUUUUACUACAUUUGUCAGGAGAACCUGCACUUUGGUGACCUUUUACCAACACAUUAAUGGAAUUCAUUAUUUGAGUUCAACAGGUUCCUCGAUCCAAGUCCAGCAAACUCCAGACCAAAUCUGCAAAUAUCCACGACAAUCAGCCACAAUCAGCUGUUUACAC